NNNNNNNNNNNNNNNNNNNNNNNNNNNNNNNNNNNNNNNNNNNNNNNNNNNNCCAAAGCCACAGCUUAAAAGAAGCCUUCUGGGUUGUCAUUUCAGCCGAAUUGGCCAAUGAUAUGACGACAGGUGCUCUCCCCCACCUCUCACUCCAAGGAGAAGAGGAGGAGAGAGAAAGAGAUUUACAAGUUGAGAACAAACGAAAAUGCUUUAAUAAAUUAAAAUAGAAAUAACAAAAUAGAUUCAAUAUAUACAAAGUUGUAUCAAGGUUCCAGGAUGAAGGCACUGGCAGCACUCGGGAAGUCCCAGACUGGACUCAGCCAUGGACAGGAACUAGAUACCCAGUCUGGAGUCAGGAACACAGGGAUGGGGAUCAAGAGCAGACAAACAGACAGGGUCCUCCGCUGGGGAAGCAGGAGUUCCCGGGCUCUGUCUGGGCACGUGAAGGGCCGGGGGAGAAAGGGGGGGUCCUUAGUCCCUCUCUGGGCACUGGUGGGACUGGGGGAACCAGGGGGACCCUUAUACCUCUCUCUCGCAGGAGGAGGGGGGGGGGGAAGGAGCCCAUCCCUACCUGUCCCCGCACACAACCACCCUCCGUUUCCUCCUCCUGCCCCGCCGCUGCCGCUCUGUGCGGGGGGGGUCACUGAGGAACUGGCUUUUAACACAUCCCCACCAGCAAGAGAGCAAGGGGCGGCAGGGGAGGCAGCCAAACGAAGCGCUGCCUUUAAGAGACACACACCCCCCACCCCCUCCUCAUCCCAAUUGAUCCACUGUUUGGGACCCACCCACCCCCAGGGGGAUAUGGGGGACCCCCAGAGAAAGAAGGGCAAAAGGGGAUUCUUUGCCAGGUUCAGCGGUCACUGGUCACUGUCAGGGCAGGAGUUGGGCAUUAGUGACGUGGCCAUUAGUGUGGCUGGAAGCCCCAAAGUGAUAAAACGUGCUGAGAUUGGGACCAGGGCUGAGGAAGAAGUGUUUUCUGCUGGGGGUGGUGAGACCCCAGCUCAGGUUGCCCACAGAAGGGGCUGAUGGCCCCAUCCCUAGGAAUAUCCCAGGGCAGGUUGGACGGGGCUGUUGGGCGACCUGC
rnacentral:lncRNA from 1 species